CCCAGACAGGGCACUGUCUGUGGCCCCAGGGGUUGAGGACCCCUGGCUUUAACAACAGAAAGGUACCAUCUUACAGUUCUGGAGGCCAAAGUCUGAUAUCCAGGGAGGGAAUUGGGAUCUGAAGACGUUGCAUUCGAGGUCUCGGGGCUCCUGAUGAGCAGCCUCGGCCUGACCUGGGGCAGGUGUGAUGUCUGCGGCUCACCAUCUCCACCCUGCCUGCUGUGGAAUCUCCACAACGACAGGUGCUUUGGAGGCCAGAGUGCAUGCGUACGGGCCCUGCACACGCUGAAUGUCACUGGGAACAAGGACACACCCCGCUUCCAGGAGAAGAUAGAACAUGUCGACCCCUUUUGCUCUCGUUCUGUUGCCCAGGCUGGAGUUCAGUGGCAUGAUCUUGGCUCACUGCAGCCUCGAACUCACAGGCUUAGGUGAUCCUCCCACCUCAGCCUCCUCAGUAGCUGGGACUACAGAGCCAUCCCCAGUGCAGGACAUGCUAUUGACUUCCAUGAGACAAACACCUACUUGGAAAUCAGGUUUUUUCUGUACCUUUUGAAGGAGCAGGAAUUUCCCAGCAUUUCCUGGACAAAGACGGAGGCUCCUGGGGCCUACAGAAAGGAGCUGGAGGUGCCUAGUGCAGGCUGGGAGGCCUCCUUUAUUGAGGUGACAUCCCUGGAUGCUGGCUUGGCGGAGGUUGGGGAGAACGCUGCCUCCCUGGAAUAGAAGAUGCCUUGGAAGCCCUGGGUGCAGGCUGGCCGACCCUGCCUGAGCUGCCUGUCUUCAUUCCAUGGCUCUGCUUGUUAGAGGAGGAAGUUAGGCAGACAUGAGUGGCGCCCACCAGCCCAGGAAUGUCAGGUGACCAUCAGGUGAUGGUCAGGCA
rnacentral:lncRNA from 1 species